rnacentral:rRNA from 1 species
UACGAAGGGGGCUAGCGUUGCUCGGAAUCACUGGGCGUAAAGGGCGCGUAGGCGGCGUUUUAAGUUGGGGGUGAAAGCCUGUGGCUCAACCACAGAAUUGCCUUCGAUACUGGGACGCUUGAAUGUGGUAGAGGUUGGUGGAACUGCGAGUGUAGAGGUGAAAUUCGUAGAUAUUCGCAAGAACACCGGUGGCGAAGGCGGCCAACUGGACCAUCACUGACGCUGAGGCGCGAAAGCGUGGGGAGCAAACAGG